GUGGCAGAGCAGUUCCUUCUCGACUGAGUAUCCAGGUGUUGGCUGGACGUACCUGUACUUCUUUUUCGAAUGUUUCCUCUACUUGGCCUUGGUUAUAUUAAUCGAGAUUUAUAAAAGUAACAACGUCAGAGCUGUUGAUUCUGUUUCAGUGGGAAUUCCUUAUGGGCAAUGUUUUGGCUUGAUAGGAGUCAAUGGUAAGUUAAUAGCUAGGUUAAUUGCUAAUGUUGGUUGAAUAUUACCAGUAUAUAUUACUAGUAUAACUAGCUCAAAAAUCUCGAUUAGCCAUAAGACCUGGCCACUUUCAAACCACACAGUUCCCCAUCAUACUACAUUUGAUGUCUGUGCUUGAAGAAAUGAACUUUGUCAUUGCAAUUAUGUUGUUGAUAAGAAGGGAUUUUUCUACCGAUCGCCUAUUUCUAAAGAAAAUACUCAGAAAUUUGCUAUUGUAACAAACAGUUUUGCACAUGAAUUAAUUUGAUGACCACAUUGGUUUCUGGGAAGCCAAACACCAAAGGCAAAAAUAUUAACAAUGAUCAAAUCAACGGCUAUAAACGUUAAACGUUUCAUGAGAUAGCUUUGAAAGACAAAAUUGACACUCUUUCAUGAUUUUCUUCUUCAUUUAAUCAUAUCUGCAGCAGAGUGAAUUGCUAUCUUUUUAGCAAACUGUAUGCUGCUUAGUUGUGAUGAAAAUGGACUUAAUAAGAAGGUUUGGAAACCUUGAAAGGAGCUUUGAUACUUAGAUGCAGCAUCAAGACUUUAAUUUAAUGGCAUUAGAGACAUGUUUCUGAAUUUCAGAAAGGCUUUUUCACAGCUUCCCGUAUCAGACAUCUAGAACUGCGUAUUAUAUGUGUUGGUUUCAUUGCGUCGACUGCAAAUUUAAAAAAUGCUCAGCUUGCAAUUGCUAAAUUGCAUUGCAGAACUGCAUCAGAAAUAUCUAAAAGAUGUUCUGGAUAGCUGAUUUUUGAGAAGGCAGACUUCUGAGGAAAGACCUAAUUCAAAGAACUUUGUAUUGGCUACAUAGCACCCUGUUUUUAAAAAAACUGUGUUGAAGAGAUUACGUCACAUUCUGGGGGUAGUCACGUGAUAUUGUAUUCGUCAUGUAUUAGCACGCUAUGUUGACAGAAUCAGAGUGUAGUUGUGACUCAGCGGUAGCCAACAUGUAAUCCAGUAGAAAAUAAUUAUGCUUAAAUAUAUAUGCUAAAGCUGCAAAACAGACGUUUUCCUUUUGCACUUCUGACCCACAAUGCAAACUACUCAACAUGGCGCCCAACGUGGGGCAAGGAGCGUAAAAGGGUGUACCACCAUGGCUACACAGUCGGUAACAUCAGAUUCGGUUGAAAAUACCGAAGAAAAUACCACGGGAGAGCUGCAAAUCGAUUGGCAGCUCACAAGGAUUCGAGCCUAUCGGAGAGGAAAUCGUUCGGUAGUAACUAAACUACAAGGAGAAGUUACACAAAUCAUUCGAACUCGGUCAAAUUCAUAUACAGAGCCUGAUGUUCUCUCACGACUUCAGUCAAUUUCGGACUUGCUUAAGGCAAAGCAAGACUAUCUGAGACGAGUUAGCGACGAAAUUUUGGGACUUUGCAGCAUCGAGGAAAUAGAUAAGGAAAUCGAAGAUUGCUCAGAAUGGGAGACACGUAUUUUGGAAACAUUGGAAAAAAUUGUGCAUUUUAAGCAGGGCAGAUACACUUCCAUUUCAACACAUGUUGGAAAUGAUGAAGAAGCUGAAGCUGUUCCUGCAUUUUCGACGCCAGUAAGGGCUGGCAUUUCUGCAGCAGAAAUAAUUACAAACCAGAGCUUUAACGGAAGUUUUCAGUCGCAUUCAUCAAUGGGAAACCUAGGGUUGAAACUGCCGAAAACGAGCUUCCCUACAUUCUGGCAGAGCUUUGAAUGCACAGUCCAUCGAAAUGCUUAAGUGCCUGCCUUCCAGAAAUUUAGUUAUUUGCUGUUGUUAUUGGAUGGAAACGCAAGGCGGGUGCUAGAGGGGUUAGAAUUGACGGAAGGAAACUACGAACACGCCAUUGAAAUUUUAAAGAUACGCUUCGGGAAUAAGCAGCAAAUAAUAAACGAGCAUAUGGCGGCGCUGCUUCGGUUACAGGGACACUCAAAUGAAAAAACACCACAAUUGCGUUACAUUUUUGACAAAAUAACAGUUCACGUGCGCGGACUUGAAUCGCUAGGGAUGCCCGCUGAACGCUUUGUUACUUCUAAUUCCAAUAAUCAUGGACAGGAUGCCAAAAGAAAUUACUACCCAAAUCGCACGGAAAAUUACUCAAGAAAUCUGGCUGAUUGACGAAAUUUUGGAGAUUAUUGGUAACGAAAUCGCUGCAAGAGAAAUUAGCGAAAAGGCAGCGAUUUCAAACAGAAGGCCUCAAGAAUAUACAACUGUUUCCCGAUCCAAGGCAGUAGGAACAACACAAUCAUUCAUCACGAAGACUGAAAAUCGAAGUUUGAAGAAUUCUCCACGGGUAUGCACAUUUUGCAAAGGGGAACAUUUGUCACUAAACUGUUCAACAAUAACGGACGUAAGAGAGAGAAAGGCGAUCAUUUUAAGGGAGGGAGUUUGUUUUUGCUGUUUGUAUAAAGGCCAUCGGGCAACAGAUUGCAGUAAAAGAUGUCAAAAAUGCGGGGGACAACAUCACCAAACUAUCUGUUUCAGAAUUUUCAACGCAAACAAGCGAACUGAAUCUGAGCAAGAUAACACCACUUCAGUUUCCGCAAUCACAAAAUCUUUGACCCCCUUGGUUGUCUCAGUGUGUAUUCCAUUAAUUUGAAGAUUCUUUUCCAGCAGUUAUGCGAAGACAAAUUACCCUGGGAUGAGGAACUCCAUGGGGAGGCUAGACCUCGUUUUAACCAACUCUUGCGUGAUAUGAACGUUAUUCAGGGGGUACAAAUUCCCCGUAGUCUUUUUGUAAGGGGUCAAUUCCCCGUAGUCUUUUUAUGCACAUCCCCCAUGAACUCCCUUUUUUGUGAAGAGAGAAACGGUCCAGCGCAGUUUAAUAAAUAGAGUUGAGCAUACUAACAUUUCACAGUUUAUUACUUCGCUUAUUACAAAUUAUACAUAAUAAAAAGUGGCACUUGUUUUUUUCAAUCAUAACUUUCAAAAUUAUGACAGCCUUGUUAAUUAGAGGUAGUAAAGAAUGGAAAGGCUAUUUAUCAUUCUUGGCGUUCCGUGUCUAUGGCUUUAGAUUUCAAAUAUUACGUCAUCAGCUAAACCAAAAAUUUACCCCACGAGCCGCCACUGAUUUUCUAGCAUCUUUUUGAAAAAUUACGUAAGGCGCUUGUGGAGGCCUGGAUCCGCCCCUGUGGUCAGUUGUGUCUCCACCUUCUCCGCCUAUCUUCUCCUCUCCUCUCUUCUAUUUCUGCAUUUGACUGUGUUUUCUCUGGUACCAAGGUGAGGCUUUCAAUUACAAUAUUAAUUGCUUUGACUGUAAUCAAGAAUCAUUGUGCAUUUGAUUGGAGGGUCCGGAAUCUAGGGGAAAAUAGUAAAUAUUUAUGCGGAGGAGACUUUUUUUCAAAUAUUUAUUUUUAUUUAUCUUCCAAGCUCAAAUGUAGAUAAAAAUUUGCUUGGAUUGCUCGUUAGGACCUCUUCUGGCUAAUACUGUAUAACUUCUUAUGUUUAAUUCAAUUCCGUGACCAUUAAUAGUUCAAUUCCGAUGCAUCGGUUAGCUUGUGGUAAGUUUUAAGUUCCCGCUCAGCACACACCCUUAAAGUUAUUUUUCAAAUUUAAGGUUUUUCGACUUUCCAGUCAUGCUGUCUACUUCACACAAUGCCUAAAGCUAAUUAGGCAUGGAUGCAUUUUUACUCUAAGUUAGUUAAGCGAAGGAUUUGUACCCUUUUUAAAUUGUUUAUUGAUGCUAGGGCUUUCUUAAACGCAACAUAAGAUUGGCAUGAAAUAGAGCACCUAAUCAGUCACAGAGAAUCCCUCUUUCUAUUAUCAGUGACAAUCGAACAUGCCUAAUCUUCAAAAAAGAGUAAUUUUUAUUCCAUUUUCGAGCAAUUUUUAAGGUCGAGGGUGAUCAAUGCUAUUUUUUCUAAAUAUUCUGGUCUGCAUUGGACUUGGUUUCUUUACGACCAAAAGCGUGUAUGCUGUAUGAAAGAUUUUCGUGCCUGUGGUCUCCAGUUGCAUAUCGUUAAUGCGACUUCUGACCUUUUGUGAGCUGAGAAUAUCAUGAUAUGUUAUGGAACAUGCAAUUUAUAGAAGUUGUGCGAGUCAGUGCCGAAAUUAGCAAGGCCCAUAAUCCUGUUUGCCCCUUCAGGGCCCACUUUAUUUCCUCUUUGCUUUGUUUAAGCUUAAUUAAAAAAUAGUGCUGAUCCGCUUCUGUCUUUUUAGAGCAAUUAGUUCAGUGCUUAGAAUAAUUAUUGUCAAAUAAUGCUCGCGAAAUUUUUUACCUGCAAACCUACAAGACAUUGUGUAAAAUAGUGAUGGGAAAAGAAACUUUUCCAUUAUCAUUACAUUAUCAUUGUAUUUUUACGGUAAUCAUUACAAAUUACGCUUGUCUCGGUCCGUGUUUUGGGUUAUUUGCUUGAAUUCAGAACGAUGCAUAUGAUGCAAAAGUUAGUAGGUACGGGAAAUGCUGGAGUCAGAUGAUUAUCUUUUCAGGGAAUGCUGGAGUACCAGAUCAUGAACCCAGACAUUUCAUUGUCGUAUAUGUUUGGAAUACUUGAAGACAAUGCUGCAGAUCUGGGAAUAAUCGACUACAGUCUGAGUCAGACCACACUUGAGCAAGUUUUCAUCAAUUUUGCCAAAUAUCAGCGUGAAGAAGCAGCAAAGAAGAAAAAAUUAUGUGCCUGUUGUUGCACAUGAUAAAGAUGUAUUCAUUUUCAAGUUUAGUUUUUAAUGUAUUGGUGAAAUUUAAAACUUUGAAGUUAAGCCUUUACAACUUAAAUAGGAUGUUGAUUUUGUUCUGAUCUUAUAUAUUUUCUUAUAUCUUUAAUCUUUAUUGAGUUUCUAUGUUUAUUUAUGGGCUUUUUGUUAAACACUGAAAACAAGUGACAUUUUUACUAGCUAACUUAUUUCUAAUUCCAUUUUCGAAUAUUGACAGCGUCUCUGGCUAUGUUCACAUUGCUCCGUAUUCGUUUUUAUCCGUUUUCAUAUCGAUCCGUUUUACCUGUUCACACUGCUUCGGAUACAUUGGAUAACGGCGUGAAAACGAUGAAGCAUUUACAAUGCUCCGCUCUGGAUAAAAAAUAAAACGCCACCAGCUGGUUUACAGACCUUGCGACUGCUGAUAAACUUUUCAAACAACUCACUGCCACUAAUAUUCCUCCAAGUAGUGUACUAACUUCGAGUGAAUCAGUCAUGUUAAGAGAAGUUGUUCAAAUUGGCGCGGUCUAAGCAUCUUGCUGUGUUGUUGUUGUUGUUGUUAGCGUUUUCAAAGGUAUCCGUUUUCGAAGGUCUCCAUUUUCAAAGUGCAUUUUCAAAUAUCUCCGUUUUCACAGCGGAGCAGCAUGAACGCAAGGUGAAAACGGAUACUUUUUUAUCCAUUUUCAUUGGAAUCCGGAGCAAUGUGAACGGGGCCUCUGUUUCAAUCCCCUUAGUUUUCAAACAGGUUUUUCUCCGGCAACCAAUCUAUCCCUGGGUUCGUUCUUGCAAGCGUUUUUGUUUAUUUAGAUCAUAACUGAUAAAGUUCUUUAAUGGAAGCUUUCAUGUUCGACUUAUAGUUCAAAAUGUUUAGAUGCCCUUGUCUGAACAAUGGUUGUGACGUUAUACAUGGAUAGGUUCCAAGUCUAGGAGGGGAGGUUCGCGUGAGAACGUAGAAAUCUACUGCAAGAAGACAAUCGUUUAAACAUGUAAUGAAAAUCAUAUUAUACAUAGAUCAAACCAAAUCUGAAAUACGUUACACAGACUUACAGAGUUCUAGAUAAUCUGUCUGAUGAAUGCACAAGCAUGAAAAUCUGAGUAACGACGAAAUAUUUUUCAAUUUUAAUCUAACGAAUCUAUCAUGCAAAAUAUAGUAAAUCAUUUCUUACGCAUUGCAUGUACUAUAUUAAGAGUGAUUUAGAGAUCAAUUAUUUAGACGAUUUUAUUUCUUUUAUUGAGGUAAAUUGUGAAAGAAUGAAGUCUAUUAAAGUAUCGAAACUGACAAUUUCUUUAUAUCUUGUGUCCGUGGCCUGUGGUCGAAUUAACUUCAGUCAAUAAUGGAAAGGAAAAUUGGAUAGGCUUUUCGAAUGAAAUUUGAUGUGAAUUGUCUAGGAAUGGAACCAGAAGCUAAUGGACAAUCCUCGUCGUACAAACAAGGUUCACUUGCUGUUUUAUAUCUCGAAACCUUUUGCCAGAGUAUCUAAUCUGUUAUGAUCCAAAUGAUGCGUGGAAUUUCGAUUGAGGUCAAACUAAGUUCACAAUUCUUUAGCAAACACGGCUUAUAGACUCGUUAAAAUAACACUAGGAGGCCCGGAUCAAAUCUCUGUCGACGGAAAAACCAUUUAAUGUCACCCAUUAUGUUGCUAUUGAGAUGGAUACUACGAGCAUCGCGUGAAGAGAAAGGUAGUGCAACGAAAACUAAACCAUUUAGGCAGCUUAAAUUCUUUUUUGGUGGUACACCACUAGAUGGAGUUUCAAGAUAAUUUCUGAACUACCUCAGCCUCAUAGUCAAGGUGUGCAUCAGAAACAUAGAGGACAUCUACAAAACCCAGGUGUCUGUCCUUUUAGACAUUAAUGUUUGUUAUGCCUUUCUUUUAUUGGCGAUAGGGUGGUUCCUUACAAAAAAGCGUGUACAGAAGAGGUACUCAGAUACUAAUGGCCUUAACUCAAACAAAAGGAUCCCCCUACAGGUGAAAUGGGAAAAAACAUCCCAGCAGAGACACUUCCCUCUAAAAUGUCUCAACAUCAUUAUCACUGCCUACAACAGAGCAGCCCUGUUAUAGAAAGUUACAAAUGCAAAGAGGUGUGCAUACCGUAUUUCCCAUUAAAAGCGCCCAAUCUUGAAAAGGCAUCCCCUUCCUUGCAAAAACACCCGUCUCUCAAAAAACCUUGAUGGGUGAAAAACAUAGAAUCGUCGGCUACAUUUUGUGCAUUAAAUACGGCUAAAUGGGAGUGGGUUUCAUCAAAAUCCAUCAAGUCAACAUUGGUGGAACUUGAAAAAAUAACGUGUAGCUUUUGAAAUAUUUAAAUGAUUCCAUCAAUCUGACCUUAAUUCCUAAUUUUAUGUUUUUAAUCCUCCAUCGCUCAGAAAUUCAAGGCCAUGAAGAAUAGUCAAAUAAUAGAAUUGUGAUUGUUACUUUACACUCAAUUUUGAUAGAAAACUGCCAACAGAAACCUUGGCAAGCCCCCCAAUAAUAGAAAACCAUCGGACUGAUCGUCAUAAAUCUUGAGAGACUCCUCGAAAAUCCUUAGUUUAAAAAUGAGAUAGAAAUGGUUCUUUCUUCGACGAUCAGGCACCUUUUUCCUGUUCAAUUGACAAAGAUUAUUGGGUGUUUUAUCUGCAGGGGCGGACGCAGAAAAAAUCAUGACCGUGGCACAAGAAUAGUGUUAGGUGACCACGCCCUCUGGUCUUUCGGAAACGCCCAGUCUGAGCAUACAGAGAUGGGUAUAGCUUUUAUAGCGAAAACAUAGUUACAUUUAGCGCAAAGCUGUCACCGCUCCUGUCGUUUUAUCAUUAAACAAUACUGGCUCUAUGUUUUCAACUUGCAAACAAAUAACGAUGCAAACUGAUGUAAGCCAGUCACUGGACGCACUUAAAUAAUAUACAUUUAAAAAUUUAUAAAUAAUGGCUAGUUCUUACAACUCACAGAUAAAAUUAUCUUUAUCUUUAGCCAGAUCAAAUUAUUGACAAAUUAAACUAGGCAUACUUUUGCGAAGCUUCGACAGCUCGUCCACGAAAAGUUCCUUCAAAGCUGCAUGGACUCGCGAUUUAAUAGAUUUUUCAACUAUUCUUUGAAUAUCCAUUGCCAAAGCCAAGGUAAUCUUUGCAAUAAACUCAAAUUCGAACUCAAUAAAAUUCUUGCGUGCUGAAUCGCCAGUUUCCUGCAGACCGAACACGUUUUGUUUGUUUACCCAGCAAUCACCGGAAUCACCUAAGCAAGUUCAUACUCGACAGCACAUUUUUUAAAUAUUUGUGCCACGGUGCCACUUCUCGGGUCUCAACAGAAGCAUACAGAGCCUCGACCGUGGCACAAGAACAAAAGCACAGCCAUUUGGUCUCAAAACAUAUUGUUUAAAAAUGUGCGCGCAUACUUCUAUUUAUAUCUAGUGUGGCACGAUUGUUAUUUGGUAGAGCCAAUUAUUUUUUGGUUAACAAAAGGCAAACAAUAAGCAAAUCCAACAUGGCGUACUACUUAAUUAACAGCGGAGAGGGGGCGUGGUAAAUAGACGCUGGAGCGAAGAGGAAGUGUUAGACAGCAAGGACCAUAUCGGGAUACUUAGAACAGUCCAUUAUUUUCCAAAAAUUUAAAUUUGGAAAUCUGACCGUGGCACGUGCCACCGGUGCCACCGUCUGAAUCCGCCCCUGUAUCUUAUGUUACCCUUAUGUUACAAUUUUGUUAUGUUACUUAAAUACCUAUGUACACUUUGUUUCUAACACGCGGUUUUUAGCCUUUGGUAUAUAAACUUCGAGUCCGUAAAAGGUGAAGACACUAAGCACUAACACGUUUACAUGGACAGAUGAUAUCAGUGUACCUUUCACAAUUCCGGCCUGUGCCGUACAGACUUUCCUUUCCACCACUGGCGUGCCCCUCCAGCGACCAGAGAAAAGGGGCCCCAAUGGCCCGUUGAAAACUAAAGUGCUGGUAAAAGGCAACUCGAAAUAGCUGCGCUCCAAAGAGGUGCAUACUUCAAUAUGAACGAGUAUGAAGACUUCUU